GACAGAGGUGGCAAGCGUUGUUCGGAUUUACUGGGCGUAAAGAGUGCGUAGGUGGUGAGGUAAGACCUGUGGGAAAGACCUGGGCUUAACCCAGGAAGGUCGCAGGUGACUGCUUCGCUUGAGGACGGGAGAGGAGAGCGGAAUUCCCGGUGUAGCGGUGAAAUGCGUAGAGAUCGGGAAGAAGGCCGGUGGCGAAGGCGGCUCUCUGGAACGUUCCUGACACUGAGGCACGAAAGCGUGGGGAGCAAACAGG
rnacentral:rRNA from 2 species